rnacentral:lncRNA from 10 species
ACAGAUGACGUUCAUGUUCUCAAAGCGGAUGCUGCUCACGCGCCCGCUCUCCAUGGCCCCUGGUAACUGGGCCUCCAGGGCUUGCAGCACCUCCAGGUGGGUAAAAUCCUCCUCGGGCUGCGGGUGUCGGAGAGAGAACCUCAGCCCGUGGCCUCCUGGUUCAUUUUGGGUUCAGAAGUCACCACCCUAGACCCCACCUGCAGAACCUGCCACAGAGUUCCAGGUGGCAUUUGAGGGGCAAGGAUCGCUCUUAAUCCCAGGGUACUGUCGCUAUGGUCAAAGGAGACGACAGAUUAUCUCUCAGAUGGGAAAGCAUCUACUAUCACUCUAGGUCAUUCUCCAAAAAAAUCAAUUCUCACCAAGCCAAUUUGCCCCAAAGUCAAUGAACAGUUGGCUGAAUGAUUCACCAACUUAGCCAACUUUACGAAUCUACCAAAAACUUUCCCAGCAAUUUGCAAUGGAUGCGCCUGAAAGUUCUUGAAAAUUUCUGCCAGGAUUUAAGUUACACACCUUUCCUUUUAUAUUCGUAUUAGCAUUUUAAGAAUGUUCAGUAGUCAAAAGAUAAGGGUCAUAGGGGUUUUGAUGUCUUGUCAAUCUAUUUAACAUUCAGAAACGUGGACUGAUCACUAAACACAGUUGCAUCACGUGAUUAGCAUGUCAAGGGUGAUAACAGUUGUCAUAGCACAUAAAAUUGCUGAGGAACUAAAAUGAAAUGAAAAUUUUCACGAUUUCACUGAAAAAUGAUGUCACUUCCAGAAAGUCAUUCCUUGACUGGGGUGAGAGGGGAGGCUGGAGAGUCCCUUGCUCAAAGCCACAAAGAAGUGGAGUGAUGGGGUGGAGACUGAUCCCUAAAACGAGGACAGCAAUCCCUGUAUGCAGGGUGGAGAGUUACACGGAUUAGCUGAGAGGGUACCUUGGAGGCCUGUGCCUGGCACACAGUAAGCACCUAUUGACAUCAGCUCUUCUCAGUCAAUUGUUGAGUGCCUGGGACUCUCAUAUAUACCUCUUCUGAUUGAAGGCAGGGAGGACCAGUUUACUGAAUCUGUCAAAAACAUGACCUCUUUCUUUCCCUCCCUCCCUUCCUUCCUUUCCUUUCCUUUCCCUCCCUCCCUUCCUUCCUUCCUUCUUUCUUUCUUUCUUCCUUCCUUUUUUUUUUGACAGAGUCUCACUUUGUCACCCAGGCUGGAGUGCAGUGGCACGAUCUCGGCUCACUGCAACCUCCACCUCCCAGGUUCAAGCGAUUCUCCUGCCUCAGCCUCCCCAGUAGCUGGGAUUCCAGCCACCUGCCACCACGCCUGCCUAAUGUUUGUAUUUUUAAUAGAGACGGGGUUUCACCAUGUUAGCCAGGCUAGUCUCAAACUCCUGACCUCUAGUGAUCCACCCACCUCAGCCUCCCAAAGUGCUGGGAUUACAGGCGUGAGCCACCGCACCCGACACACAUGGGCUUUUUCUUGAGUUUUUGUUAUAUUUGUAAACUUUACAGAAGUGGAUUAGUAGGACUCCUUUUGUCCUCCCUCCCUGCCCCCCUCAGCCUCCCCUUUCUUUGCCCGUUGGUCUCCCCUCUGACAUGAGCAGUAGAUUUCAUGACUGACCCUUUGACAAAUUCACAAUCAGUUUUCAGCAAACUGUCCUGGUGGCAAGCCCACAGCUUAUAAGCCAAAAGCCUGAAUUUAAACUCUGGCCACACUGCUUCUCAGCCUGUGCCCUUCCCAUCACCCCACCAAAACUGUGCAGAAAAUAAGGGCACAGGUCCACUCACCAAGGUCUCCAUGCAGAGGCAGAGGGGCUGGGAAGCUGGUGGUGUGGGGAACUUCCGGAUGCACGGGAGUUCUCGGUCCAGUGCCUCGUACUCUGCAAUGACCUGCCGCAGGUACUGCUUUCUAGGGAGAGAGCGAACAGGCAGGGACCUCUGAGGUCAGGGUUCACUGCCAUCACAUUUGGGGAGGCGGAAGAUAGAGGUCAUGGGGGCCAGGGACAACUCACGAGGAUUUGAUGGGCCUGCCCAGGCUCCGAGCCUGCAUCUCCUCUGGGGUCUCCAGGUCCAUAAGGAGGGCUCCUGAGGACAGAGAACCCAGUGUCAGCUGCCCUGAGCCCUCCUCAGCCAUGAUUCUGCUUAAAUGGCCAUCACCAAUUGCUUGCCCAUGCCACACCCAGAAUAGCUUGUAUGCCAGAUGUUGAGUUACUGUCUCUUAGCUCCAAACUCCACCCCAUGACACCGGCUCUGUGAUGCCUGGGUUGAGACUCUACUAACCACAUUUCUCCUUCAACAGCUGGGUUCCUAUUAGGCUCUGCCUAACAGGGGCGCCAGUGGGAGCCUGCAAGGCAGGAGGAAGCAGGAGGAACUUGCUCCUUUUUGCUUCCUCUUCUAGUCACCCCAGGCUUACUUCUUCACUGUGGCAGCAUCACUUCAGUAACAACACUUGAAUCCAGUUUUCAGGUUUUUUGUUUUUUUUUUUUGAGACAGAGUCUUGUUCUGUCGCCCAGGCUGGAGUGCAGUGGCGCAAUCUCGGCUCACUGCAAGCUCUGCCUCCCGGGUUCACGCCAUUCUCCUGCCUCAGCCUCCCGAGUAGCUGAGACUACAGGCACCCGCUACCACGCCCAGCUAAUUUUUGUAUUUUUAGUAGAGACGGGGUUUCACUGUGUUAGCCAGGAUGAUCUCAAUCUCAUGACCUUGUGAUCCUCCUGCCUCGUCCUCCCAAAAUGCUGGGAUUACAGGCAUAAGCCACUAUGCCCAGCCCAGUUUUCAGUUUUUCCAACACUCUCAGAAUCAGUCUCCUGAUUGGAACUUCACAGAUAACAGUUCUCAAAUAUGGACCCUUUUUGACCACCCCACCAUCAGCUAACUGGUCUCUCUCUUAUGGCCAAGUGCUAGUUGUUCCAUGCACUCCAUUUUCCCCUUCCCCUACAAUCCUAGAGUUUUACCCAGCACAUGGCUUCCCAGCUAGAGACAACAGUUCCCAGACUCCCUUGCAGGUAAGUGUGGCCAUGUGACCAUGCUCUCACCAAUGAAGUGUUAGCUGGAGUGAGAGGUGUAACUUUGGAGUCAUUUGCUUAAAAGAUUACUGCUUUUCUUGGACUCUGCCCUUUCUCUUGGACUGGAAUGUGGAUUAGCAAUAACCCAGCCUCCACCAUGUUCAGAUAUGGCAAGCAACAGUAUGGGAGGAACUCUUAUCUCUAAAUCUUCUCACCAAGCCAAGAUGUCCCACAACCCUGCCUUUCAUUACACAAGAGAGAAAUACAAUUCUGGUUCUUGACCAGCUGAGGCAGGUAACAUAGCAACACCCUAUCUCUACAAAAAAAAAUUUUUAAUUAUCUGGGCAUGAUGUUGUGUGCCUGUAGUCCCAGCUACUGAGGAGGCUAGGGUGGGAGGAUUGCUUGAGGCCAGGAGUUAGAGGUUGCAGUGAGCCAUGAUUGUACCAAUGCACUUCAGCCUGGGUGACAGAGAAAGGGAGAAAGAGAGACAGAAAGAGAGAAGGAAGGAAGGAAGGAAGGGAGGGAGGGAGGGACGGAGCCUGGUGCAGUGGCUCACUCCUGUAAUCCCAGCACUUUGGGAGGCUGAAGCGGGCAGAUCACGAGGUCAGGAGUUC